rnacentral:rRNA from 1 species
CCUACGGGAGGCAGCAGUGGGGAAUAUUGCACAAUGGGGGAAACCCUGAUGCAGCGACGCCGCGUGAGCGAAGAAGUAAUUCGGUAUGUAAAGCUCUAUCAGCAGGGAAGAAAAUGACGGUACCUGAGUAAGAAGCCCCGGCUAACUACGUGCCAGCAGCCGCGGUAAUACGUAUGGAGCAAGCGUUAUCCGGAUUUACUGGGUGUAAAGGGAGCGUAGGCGGCCGUGCAAGUCUGGAGUGAAAUGCCGGGGCUCAACCCCCGGACUGCCUUGGAAACUGUAAGGCUGGAGUGUAGGAGAGGUAAGCGGAAUGCCUAGUGUAGCGGUGAAAUGCGUAGAUAUUAGGAGGAACACCAGUGGCGAAGGCGGCCUACUGGACGGUAACUGACGCUGAGGCUCGAAAGCGUGGGGAGCAAACAGGAUUAGAUACCCGUGUAGUC